rnacentral:rRNA from 1 species
UACAGAGGUCCCAAGCGUUGUUCGGAUUCAUUGGGCGUAAAGGGUGCGUAGGCGGCGCGGUAAGUCGGGUGUGAAAUCUCGGGGCUUAACUCCGAAACUGCAUUCGAUACUGCCGUGCUUGAGGACUGGAGAGGAGACUGGAAUUUACGGUGUAGCGGUGAAAUGCGUAGAUAUCGGAAGGAACGCCGGUGGCGAAAGCGGCGGGCUGGACCUCUUCUGACGCUGAGGCGCGAAAGCCAGGGGAGCAAACGGG